GGACCUGAAAGAAACCAGUUGGAAUCAGUUAUUUCAGAAUUUGCGAAUCAAAUGCGUGACAAAACAAAGAUUCUAUAUAUAUUAAGAUGGUUUACUCAUACUUCUAGGAUGGGAAAAAAUGCAAUUCGCAAUAUGGUGGGCCUAAGAAACAACAAUUGCAUGUGAUCUCUCAGCUGACAUGUUUUUGGUGCCUGAAGGGUGCUGGAACAGGAUCUCUCGGAUUGACCGCACCCAGGUGUGACUGUUCCACAACACAUGUUAUUACAAAUUGGCUUGUUUUCCAUAACAAGGCUAAUUUAGCAAAACCACAAGAGAUAAAUAUAGUCUGCACAUUGGAGCAGCAACCCAUAAGUAACUCAAAGCAUGCUGUAGUAGUUGGCCUGAUAACAAGUUGCAUCCCUCUGGUAGAUUCUGUAAACUGCUCCUUAUGUAGGCGUCUACUUUGCCAUCUACUAAUCCCGGUGGUGUUGCCUUAAUAAAUAUUAUCAGGGCAAAGUAAGUUGUAGGACUGAGCUUUAUUUAAAUAGAUAAAAGUUUUUAGUUUAAAUCUGGAACUUUCUGAAGCGGAUCAUUAUUGGUUUUGUGGGUGGUUAAACUUCAUGUGUGCAGCUGUCAAACAUCUAUUUUUUUUUUUUAAGAGUAAUGUAAUAAUACAUGAAGAAUUAAACUUGUGCGCUUCCGCUUUCAUAUGUAAAUCCUUCAAAUUUUUAUGUUGAUAAUGUAAUAGCUACAACUCGGUGCACAAAGGUUGAAAGCAGUGAUAUAACAGCAGUGCAGAGGUGUGAAGCCAGCAGUCAUGGGCUCUAGUACAUCUAAAUGGGUUUCAAGAAAGGGUUAUUGAAAUUUAAAUACAUUUUUGAAUACAAUUUUUAAUAAUAAGGGGAUGUUAGCAGUGUUUAGUUCCAACACUGCUUCAACACACACACCUGCAGUUUUAAAAUAAGCCUAGUGUUUAAUUAGGGUUGAAACUUAACUCUGCAGGGCUGAAGCCCUCCAGGAACUGAGUUUGACAUUCCAUACACUCAUGUUCAAAAGUGAUUUAGUUCAGAUUUUAU